rnacentral:rRNA from 1 species
ACCGGAUAAGUCUUUACAGAGAAAGCUUUAUGCACCAUUGGAUGAGCCUGCACUUGAUUAGUUUGUUGGUGGGGUAAUGGCCUACCAAGACUUUGAUCAAUAGCUGAUUUGAGAGGAUGAUCAGCCACAUUGGGACUGAGACACGGCCCAAACUCCUACGGGAGGCAGCAGUGGGGAAUCUUGCACAAUGGAGGAAACUCUGAUGCAGCGAUGCCGCGUGAGUGAAGAAGGCCUUUGGG